UACGAAGGGGGCUAGCGUUGCUCGGAAUUACUGGGCGUAAAGGGCGCGUAGGCGGACAGUUUAGUCAGAGGUGAAAGCCCAGGGCUCAACCUUGGAAUUGCCUUUGAUACUGGCUGUCUUGAGUACGGGAGAGGUGAGUGGAACUCCGAGUGUAGAGGUGAAAUUCGUAGAUAUUCGGAAGAACACCAGUGGCGAAGGCGACUCACUGGCCCGUUACUGACGCUGAGGCACGAAAGCGUGGGGAGCAAACAGG
rnacentral:rRNA from 1 species